GUGGGGAAUUUUGGACAAUGGGCGAAAGCCUGAUCCAGCCAUUCCGCGUGAGUGAAGAAGGCCUUCGGGUUGUAAAGCUCUUUCGGCAGGAACGAAACGGUCUUUUCUAAUACAAGAGGCUAAUGACGGUACCUGAAGAAGAAGCACCGGCUAACUACGUGCCAGCAGCCGCGGUAAUACGUAGGGUGCGAGCGUUAAUCGGAAUUACUGGGCGUAAAGCGUGCGCAGGCGGUUAUGUAAGACAGGUGUGAAAUCCCCGGGCUUAACCUGGGAACUGCGCUUGUGACUGCAUAACUCGAGUGUGGCAGAGGGGGGUGGAAUUCCACGUGUAGCAGUGAAAUGCGUAGAGAUGUGGAGGAACACCGAUGGCGAAGGCAGCCCCCUGGGUCAACACUGACGCUCAUGCACGAAAGCGUGGGUAGCAAACAGGAUUAGAUACCCGAGUAGUCC
rnacentral:rRNA from 1 species